CUCCUGGGGUAAGCGGGUAGGGAGGACCGUAGGUAAAUCCGCGGACCAUUAAUCCUGAGAUGUGAUGCCGAGCCGAUUGUGGCGAAGUGGGUGAUCCUAUGCUGCCGAGAAAAGCCUCUAGUGAGUGUCGUGGCGGCCCGUACCCCAAACCGACUCAGGUGGUCAGGUAGAGAAUACCAAGGCGAUCGGGUGAACUGUGGUUAAGGAACUCGGCAAAUUGCCCCCGUAACUUCGUGAGAAGGGGGGCCUCCGCUGGUGAUCAGACUUGCUUUGUGAGCUGGUGGGGGUCGCAGAGGCCAGGGGGAAGCGACUGUUUACUAAAAACACAGGUCCGUGCGAAGUCGUAAGACGAUGUAUACGGACUGACGCCUGCCCGGUGCUGGAACGUUAAGGGGACCGGUUAGCGCAUCUUCGGGUGUGCGAGGCUGAGAACUUAAGCGCCAGUAAACGGCGGUGGUAACUAUAACCAUCCUAAGGUAGCGAAAUUCCUUGUCGGGUAAGUUCCGACCUGCACGAAUGGCGUAACGACUUCCCCGCUGUCUCAACCGCAGACCCGGCGAAAUUGCACUACGAGUAAAGAUGCUCGUUACGCGCAGCAGGACGGAAAGACCCCGGGACCUUCACUACAGCUUGACAUUGGCGUUUGGAACGUCUUGUGUAGGAUAGGUGGGAGACUGUGAAGCUGUCACGCUAGUGGUGGUGGAGUCAUUGGUGAAAUACCACUCUGGUCGUUUUGAACGUCUAACUUCGGUCCGUGAUCCGGAUCAGGGACAGUGUCUGGUGGGUAGUUUAACUGGGGCGGUUGCCUCCUAAAGAGUAACGGAGGCGCCCAAAGGUUCCCUCAGCCUGGUUGGUAAUCAGGUGUCGAGUGUAAGUGCACAAGGGAGCUUGACUGUGAGACCGACGGGUCGAGCAGGAGCGAAAGCUGGGACUAGUGAUCCGGCGGUGGCAUGUGGAAGCGCCGUCGCUCAACGGCUAAAAGGUACCCCGGGGAUAACAGGCUGAUCUUCCCCAAGAGUCCAUAUCGACGGGAUGGUUUGGCACCUCGAUGUCGGCUCGUCGCAUCCUGGGGCUGGAGUAGGUCCCAAGGGUUGGGCUGUUCGCCCAUUAAAGCGGUACGCGAGCUGGGUUUAGAACGUCGCGAGACAGUUCGGUCCCUAUCCGCUGCGCGCGCAGGAGACUUGAAAGGAGCUGUCCCUAGUACGAGAGGACCGGGACGGACGAACCUCUGGUGUGCCAGUUGUUCCGCCAGGAGCAUGGCUGGUUGGCUACGUUCGGAAGGGAUAACCGCUGAAAGCAUCUAAGCGGGAAGCUCGCCUUGAGAUGAGGUCUCCCACCACGAGAGUGGGUAAGGCCCCCGGGAGACGACCGGGUUGAUAGGCCGGAGGUGGAAGCAUGGUAACGUGUGGAGCUUACCGGUACUAAUAGGCCGAGGACUUGACCAC
rnacentral:rRNA from 1 species